ensembl:lncRNA
CCGCCUACGUUUUUAUCCGGAGCUUCGUUACUUUUUUGAAAGAAAAAUAAUAAUAAUAAGGUAAGUAAUCAAACAUGCAACAUUUGAGUGAAUGUUUUUUUACUGUCUGUUGCUAAUUGUUGCUGAGCUUCUUAAUGUGUAACAGUUACCAAAUAAUUUUGAUUUUAUUCAGAUCUUGAAGAAGAUGGUUUGGCCUGUUUUUUUUUUUUUUUUUUUUUUUUUACAUAUAAAACUAUCAGGUACCACAACGGUUCCUGGAUUGACUAAAAAAUAGUUUUAAUUGUUCCAAAUACAAUUAUGGUUUUCUAUUUUACCAUUUUCCCUGAUGCAUUCCCAUCUGGCUUUGGUUUAUAAAUGAUUAACGUUACAAAGCUGUUGAAAUGGCGACAUUUACUGUUAUAUGUAACAGUUUAUGCAGAGAUGACGUUUGUGAUUAUUUUUGACAUGUUUUGUGAUUUCACAGUAACAUUAUACUAUUAUUUUUAAAUUCAGUAAAUUAAGAAUAUAAUACAAGCACUGUAAAAUGUUUCUUUACUCAAACUCAACUGUUUUAUAUCACUGCUGAUAUAAUGAGCCGUCUUCUAACAUAAGAAACAUAGUAAUGUUAAGUGAUGUUAAACUAAGAAAUCUUAAUAUCACAUGAAAGUUUUCUAUUCCAAUAUUUUUUUUUGUACUGGCACAACAUUACUGAAAGUUAUCAGAGGAAACACUGUUUUAAAAUGGUCUGUACUGAAGUCACACAUGCAUAUUUAUAGAACUGCGUAUUUAAAGGUAUAUUUUCUGUAAUGCUUGUAGAACAUGCACAUAUCAAGGAAUGUGUCUUUAAUUUUGCAAAGCAGAAUCUGUUAAUUAAAUUUUGUUCUUUUUUUAGAAGAAGUCCUUCUGGCAGCUGCCUCCUGAUUGGUCUUCAACACAGAGGUCUUGAUACACUGAUGCAGUGGAACUGUAAGCACUGUAUUUUUUCUGCAAACAAAAGAGGACUUUUGUUAAAACAUUAUCGUCUAAAACAUGGAGGCUUCACUCGGCAACAGCCAAUACCAUGUCUUCAUAUGGAUUGCUUGUGCUCUUUCAAGUCUUUUAACGCACUCAAAGUGCACUUAUCUGUUUGGCACUCUCAAUCAGACAGACAAACAAGUGAACCCAAAGUUGCGUUUCACUGCCAGUUAUGCGAGUAUGUGCAGCCCUGCACUGAAUCUGAGUUUUUCACUCAUUUACGCAGUCAUUUAAAACUUAAACAAAGCGUUUCAUGCCCAUAUGAAGGCUGUCAGUUUGAGAGUAAUGUAUAUUCAACGUUUAAUGCUCACAAAAGCAGAGUACACAGUGGGAGUUCUACAACCCAAUUUAAAGGUCCAAUACUUUCAAACAUUGAACAGUUAGAUCAACUGACUGAAGUGGAUGAAGAGGUGCCUUUACAGGAUGACAAUUGUGUAGAUGAGUCUGUAGAUGACAUGCAGGACUUAGAAAUUCAGUUAGAACGUAACCUGGCUUCAUUAUUUUUGAAAAUGCAAGCAAUCCUGCACAUAUCUGAAAGCGCUGCACAAGAAGUAAUCCAGCAGAUUAAUCAGAUCCAAAUGCUUUCACAGCCAUUACUACAAAAUGCUGUCCAGAAAAUUAUCAGUCAUCACUGUAGUGAUGUGGAUAAUUCCAUAGUAAGUGACAUUGUUAGUGUAGUGUCACAAAGUAAUGUCCUGCUGAAAUUUACCAGUGCAGAAGGAUCCCUGUCAACAGCUAGCAGAAGAGCAUCUUAUAUGCUGCGAGAAUUUCCAGUCGUCAUGC